GACGAACGCUGGCGGCGUGCUUAACACAUGCAAGUCGAACGGAAAGGCCCUGCUUUUGUGGGGUGCUCGAGUGGCGAACGGGUGAGUAACACGUGAGUAACCUGCCCUUGACUUUGGGAUAACUUCAGGAAACUGGGGCUAAUACCGGAUAGGAGCUCCUGCUGCAUGGUGGGGGUUGGAAAGUUUCGGCGGUUGGGGAUGGACUCGCGGCUUAUCAGCUUGUUGGUGGGGUAGUGGCUUACCAAGGCUUUGACGGGUAGCCGGCCUGAGAGGGUGACCGGCCACAUUGGGACUGAGAUACGGCCCAGACUCCUACGGGAGGCAGCAGUGGGGAAUAUUGCACAAUGGGAGGAAGCCUGAUGCAGCAACGCCGCGUGCGGGAUGACGGCCUUCGGGUUGUAACCCGCUUUCGCCUGUGACGAAGCGUGAGUGACGGUAAUGGGUAAAGAAGCACCGGCUAACUACGUG
rnacentral:rRNA from 1 species